rnacentral:rRNA from 1 species
CUUCCGUAGGUGAACCUGCGGAGGGAUCAUUACCGAGUUUACAACUCCCAAACCCCUGUGAACAUACCAAUUGUUGCCUCGGCGGAUCAGCCCGCUCCCGGUAAAACGGGACGGCCCGCCAGAGGACCCCUAAACUCUGUUUCUAUAUGUAACUUCUGAGUAAAACCAUAAAUAAAUCAAAACUUUCAACAACGGAUCUCUUGGUUCUGGCAUCGAUGAAGAACGCAGCAAAAUGCGAUAAGUAAUGUGAAUUGCAGAAUUCAGUGAAUCAUCGAAUCUUUGAACGCACAUUGCGCCCGCCAGUAUUCUGGCGGGCAUGCCUGUUCGAGCGUCAUUUCAACCCUCAAGCCCCCGGGUUUGGUGUUGGGGAUCGGCGAGCCCUUGCGGCAAGCCGGCCCCGAAAUCUAGUGGCGGUCUCGCUGCAGCUUCCAUUGCGUAGUAGUAAAACCCUCGCAACUGGUACGCGGCGCGGCCAAGCCGUUAAACCCCCAACUUCUGAAUGUUGACCUCGGAUCAGGUAGGAAUACCCGCUGAACUUAAGCAUAUCAAUAAGCGGAGGAA